UGAGAAACAGGCCUAUUUCAGGUGGACUGAUCGCUGAGGACUUUUGGUGAGCUUCGCUGAAAAUGAAGAUCUCGCUAGGUGUUCUGCUUAUUUUACCGACAGUCUGUCAAUCGUCAUCUUCUUCUUACGGAUGGCAUCCUUGCCCUACAAAGGAGGAAUACAGAGGAAAAUGCUUGCUAGGUAACGUAGCCAACGAAAACUAUUGCCCGAAAGUUGGCGCGCAAUGGUGCAGUAAAUACAACUAUGACUCUGUUCGGAGACGCCCUUGCGUAUGCUGGGCAGGAUGGUGUAGGAAUAGGCAUAACCGCUGUACACCUUGUGACCAAUGUGAUACUUGUGUAUAUAGAGGAAAAGAGCUUUCAAAUUCAACAUACGAAUACUUUGAUAAGGAGUGUGAAAGGGCAAUAUGCCGUAAUCGUGCACCGUAUGUUGAAAGGCCAGAGGGCCUCCCUCUUGUCUGCUGCCAUCCCUCCUCAGGAUAUACCGGUGGAGCUGUUUCUUCGAAGCGGAACCAGCAAUCUUCCUGUGGCUUUGGUACCCACAAACGGGGUGAUGAUCCGUAUGAAGGAUCCUAUAAAGCCAUUGAAACAGAACUUCGGGCAGUCUCCACUCACAGCAAAUCACAGAGGUUCUACAGUUUGGACGCGGGGGGAUCCUCUGCUCGCCGUCGGACCAGGCUUGUGUGCAAGAUCUGCUAAAAUGCACUAAUUUCGCUACGCACCCCAUGCCCCAAAAGAACGUUUCCACCAUUUGGAAGCUGCGUAUACACACGUUUUCCAGGCCAUUACCCGACGUGCUGUAAAUGGGAACGAACAUGUUAGUAGCGAGAGAAGAAUAUUUUAUCGUCUUUCGCCAGUUCUUUACAGCUGUUCUUUUACACGAGGUCAGAAGGGCUGUGGCUAAAUAGAUAAUAAAAUAUAUUUUGCCCU